rnacentral:rRNA from 1 species
CCUACGGGAGGCAGCAGUGGGGGAUAUUGCACAAUGGGGGAAACCCUGAUGCAGCGACGCCGCGUGUGGGAAGACGGUCCUCUGGAUUGUAAACCACUGUCCCCAGGGACGAAGAUGACGGUACCUGGGGAGGAAGCUCCGGCAAACUACGUGCCAGCAGCCGCGGCAAUACGUAGGGAGCGAGCGUUGUCCGGAAUUACUGGGUGUAAAGGGAGCGUAGGCGGGACUGCAAGUUGGGUGUCAAAUCUACCGGCGCAACCGGUAGCCGCACUCAAAACUGCAGUUCUUGAGUGAAGUAGAGGCAGGCGGAAUUCCUAGUGUAGCGGUGAAAUGCGUAGAUAUUAGGAGGAACACCAGUGGCGAAGGCGGCCUGCUGGGCUUUUACUGACGCUGAGGCUCGAAAGUGUGGGGAGCAAACAGGAUUAGAUACCCUAGUAGUC